rnacentral:rRNA from 1 species
GGUUGGGCUGUUCGCCCAUUAAAGCGGUACGCGAGCUGGGUUCAGACCGGCGUGAGCCAGGUCGGUCCCUAUCUGCUGUGGGCGUUGCAAACUUGAGAGGAGUCAACCCUAGUACGAGAGGAUUGGGUUGGACGGACCCCUGGUGAUCCUGUUGCGCCGCUCGGUGCAUCGCAGGGUAGCUACGUUCGGCAGGGAUAACCGCUGAAAGCAUCUAA